rnacentral:rRNA from 1 species
UACGAAGGGUGCAAGCGUUACUCGGAAUUACUGGGCGUAAAGCGUGCGUAGGUGGUGAGUUAAGUCUGUCGUGAAAAGCCCUGGGCUCAACCUGGGAAUGGCGAUGGAUACUGGGAGGCUAGAGUGUGAUAGAGGAUGGUGGAAUUCCCGGUGUAGCGGUGAAAUGCGUAGAGAUCGGGAGGAACACCAGUGGCGAAGGCGGCCAUCUGGAUCAACACUGACGCUGAGGCACGAAAGCGUGGGGGAAGCAAACAGG